GGUUCUAGUGUCUCUUAAUGUUCCUCUUGACAAUACCACUUAAAGAAUCUCUGAGGGAUUGUCUGUGGGAUCAAUUAAUUACAGUAACACGAUGGCCAGCAAACCAGGUAAUAGUAGUUUUUCCACUGUGGGCAGAUGCCAAGUCCUGCUGGAAGAGAAAAUCAGCAUCUCCAUAAAGCUCGUCAGCAGAUGGAAGGUUGAAUUCUUCCAAAAUCUCCU